rnacentral:rRNA from 1 species
GUUGGGUAGGGGAGCGUUCUGUAAGCCUGUGAAGGUGGCCUGUGAGGGUUGCUGGAGGUAUCAGAAGUGCGAAUGCUGACAUAAGUAACGAUAAAGCGGGUGAAAAGCCCGCUCGCCGGAAGACCAAGGGUUCCUGUCCAACGUUAAUCGGGGCAGGGUGAGUCGACCCCUAAGGCGAGGCCGAAAGGCGUAGUCGAUGGGAAACGGGUUAAUAUUCCCGUACUUGGUGUUACUGCGAAGGGGGGACGGAGAAGGCUAUGUUGGCCGGGCGACGGUUGUCCCGGUUUAAGCGUGUAGGUGUGUGUUCCAGGUAAAUCCGGUUCACUUUAACACUGAGGCGUGACGACGAGGCACUACGGUGCUGAAGCAACAAAUGCCCUGCUUCCAGGAAAAGCCUCUAAGCAUCAGGUAACAUCAAAUCGUACCCCAAACCGACACAGGUGGUCAGGUAGAGAAUACCAAGGCGCUUGAGAGAACUCGGGUGAAGGAACUAGGCAAAAUGGUGCCGUAACUUCGGGAGAAGGCACGCUGACACGUAGGUGAAGUGAUUUACUCAUGGAGCUGAAGUCAGUCGAAGAUACCAGCUGGCUGCAACUGUUUAUUAAAAACACAGCACUGUGCAAACACGAAAGUGGACGUAUACGGUGUGACGCCUGCCCGGUGCCGGAAGGUUAAUUGAUGGGGUCAGCGCAAGCGAAGCUCCUGAUCGAAGCCCCGGUAAACGGCGGCCGUAACUAUAACGGUCCUAAGGUAGCGAAAUUCCUUGUCGGGUAAGUUCCGACCUGCACGAAUGGCGUAAUGAUGGCCAGGCUGUCUCCACCCGAGACUCAGUGAAAUUGAACUCGCUGUGAAGAUGCAGUGUACCCGCGGCAAGACGGAAAGACCCCGUGAACCUUUACUAUAGCUUGACACUGAACAUUGAGCCUUGAUGUGUAGGAUAGGUGGGAGGCUUUGAAGUGUGGACGCCAGUCUGCAUGGAGCCGACCUUGAAAUACCACCCUUUAAUGUUUGAUGUUCUAACGUGGACCCGUUACCCGGGUUGCGGACAGUGUCUGGUGGGUAGUUUGACUGGGGCGGUCUCCUCCUAAAGAGUAACGGAGGAGCACGAAGGUUGGCUAAUCCUGGUCGGACAUCAGGAGGUUAGUGCAAUGGCAUAAGCCAGCUUGACUGCGAGCGUGACGGCGCGAGCAGGUGCGAAAGCAGGUCAUAGUGAUCCGGUGGUUCUGAAUGGAAGGGCCAUCGCUCAACGGAUAAAAGGUACUCCGGGGAUAACAGGCUGAUACCGCCCAAGAGUUCAUAUCGACGGCGGUGUUUGGCACCUCGAUGUCGGCUCAUCACAUCCUGGGGCUGAAGUAGGUCCCAAGGGUAUGGCUGUUCGCCAUUUAAAGUGGUACGCGAGCUGGGUUUAGAACGUCGUGAGACAGUUCGGUCCCUAUCUGCCGUGGGCGCUGGAGAACUGAGGGGGGCUGCUCCUAGUACGAGAGGACCGGAGUGGACGCAUCACUGGUGUUCGGGUUGUCAUGCCAAUGGCACUGCCCGGUAGCUAAAUGCGGAAGAGAUAAGUGCUGAAAGCAUCUAAGCACGAAACUUGCCCCGAGAUGAGUUCUCCCUGAGACU